GAUGAAGAACGUAGCAAAAUGCGAUAAGUAAUGUGAAUUGCAGAAUUCAGUGAAUCAUCGAAUCUUUGAACGCACAUUGCGCCCGCCAGUAUUCUGGCGGGCAUGCCUGUUCGAGCGUCAUUUCAACCAUCAAGCCCCCGGCUUGUGUUGGGGACCUGCGGCUGCCGCAGGCCCUGAAAAGCAGUGGCGGGCUCGCUGUCACACCGAGCGUAGUAGCAUACAUCUCGCUCUGGGCGUGCUGCGGGUUCCGGCCGUUAAACCACCUUCAUAACCCAAGGUUGACCUCGGAUCAGGUAGGAAGACCCGCUGAACUUAAGCAUAUCAAUAAGCGGAGGA
rnacentral:misc_RNA from 1 species